rnacentral:rRNA from 1 species
AUAAUGGGUCAGCGACUUAUAUUCUGUAGCAAGGUUAACCGAAUAGGGGAGCCGAAGGGAAACCGAGUCUUAACUGGGCGUUAAGUUGCAGGGUAUAGACCCGAAACCCGGUGAUCUAGCCAUGGGCAGGUUGAAGGUUGGGUAACACUAACUGGAGGACCGAACCGACUAAUGUUGAAAAAUUAGCGGAUGACUUGUGGCUGGGGGUGAAAGGCCAAUCAAACCGGGAGAUAGCUGGUUCUCCCCGAAAGCUAUUUAGGUAGCGCCUCGUGAAUUCAUCUCCGGGGGUAGAGCACUGUUUCGGCAAGGGGGUCAUCCCGACUUACCAACCCGAUGCAAACUGCGAAUACCGGAGAAUGUUAUCACGGGAGACACACGGCGGGUGCUAACGUCCGUCGUGAAGAGGGAAACAACCCAGACCGCCAGCUAAGGUCCCAAAGUCAUGGUUAAGUGGGAAACGAUGUGGGAAGGCCCAGACAGCCAGGAUGUUGGCUUAGAAGCAGCCAUCAUUUAAAGAAAGCGUAAUAGCUCACUGGUCGAGUCGGCCUGCGCGGAAGAUGUAACGGGGCUAAACCAUGCACCGAAGCUGCGGCAG